GACGAACGCUGGCGGCGUGCUUAACACAUGCAAGUCGAGCGGUAAGGCCCUUUCGGGGGUACGACGAGCGGCGAACGGGUGGAGUAACACGUGGGUGACCUCGCCCUCCAGCUCUGGGAUAAGCCUGGGAAACGUGGGUCUAAUACUGGAUAUGACUCCACGGUGCAUGUCGUGGGGUGGAAAGCCUUGUGCGGCUGAGGAUGGGCCCGCGGCCUAUCAGCUUGUUGGUGGGGNGAUGGCC
rnacentral:rRNA from 1 species